AAGAGUUGGAAGGAGUGCCUCAGGAAAAGACAACAAUGAUGGAAGGAGAGGUGAGGUUUAUUUUUGUGAUUUGUAUCAGUUCCCCUUUCGCCCCAUUCCCUCCAUCCUGACCCCUGUUCUGUAGGAGGAGAUCCCUGCUGAGGUGAUUGCAGAGAGCAUUGCCUUGGCGCAGAGGCAACAAGGGGGUCCAAGGGCUGAGCUGACUAGCUCAGAACUGGCCUUAUUUGAGGAUGCCGAGGCAGAGCACUCUACUACCG
rnacentral:lncRNA from 1 species